GCUGGGCGUGGUGGUGCACACCUGUAAUCCCAGAGGCUUGAGAGGCUGAGGCAGGGGGAUUGCAAGAUCAAACCCAGCCUCAG
rnacentral:sRNA from 1 species